UGACCAUUCCCGCAAAAGGGAAUCAAGGCCAUACGGACAGCCGGGUCAACUGCCGA
rnacentral:sRNA from 1 species